rnacentral:rRNA from 1 species
UACAGAGGUCCCAAGCGUUGUUCGGAUUCAUUGGGCGUAAAGGGUGCGUAGGCGGCGCGGUAAGUCGGGUGUGAAAUCUCGGGGCUUAACUCCGAAACUGCAUUCGAUACUGCCGUGCUUGAGGACUGGAGAGGAGACUGGAAUUUACGGUGUAGCGGUGAAAUGCGUAGAUAUCAGGAGGAAUACCGAUGGCGAAGGCAGGUCUCUGGGCUGACACUGACGCUCAUGCACGAAAGCGUGGGGAGCAAACAGG